rnacentral:sRNA from 1 species
GCGGGGAUGAGUGAUUGGCUGAUUCCAAAACGACUAUUUCUUGCUUGCGGCCUGGAUCAGCGAUGAUGGGAAAAAUCGUGCAUGGAUUCACAUCAUGCCAGACACAGGCUACUGAGUACUUGUUGCACACAGGACGGCCAUUUUGCCAAUGUGUUUUGAUGAAAACCAUGCUACGGCUAUAUGUGGAGGGCAACAAAAGGAUUAUUCAUAUUUACGCCCCCACGAAGUCACAGUGAAUAAUCGUCAUAACCAUCCUGUUGAGCAGACUGAGGCAAGUAGAUGAGAACAGAAACGCAUGAGCUGGCAGUUUCAUCACCAUGACCAAGACAUCACUGUACGUACGUACUGUAUCGUACGUGUGUAAGUCGCGUACGCGUACGGUACGUAUACAUACGUACCAUUGUGUCAAGCGCCUGUUCCGAUGCAGCCAUGGCGAUGACGAUGAUGGUGAUGGGGUCCAUCUUGUUACAAUGUGAGGAGUGUGUCGCGCCGAGCUGAGAAAGAUUUUGCCCAUUCCCAUUCCCAUCCCCUUUUCCCAUUUCGCCUCUCGGGUCUGGCGCCAGACAGCCAGCAGUCAAAUCACAGCAGUCAAAUCACAGCGACCAAGAGUUUGGCUGAUCACAAGCUUGCCAAGAAGGUAUGGCUGUUGUACGAUUGGGCGGUAUGAUAAGAAUGGGGAUUCUCGAAAAGACACGGCACAGGCCGUGAGGUCUGCCAGCCUGAACGGCGCAAAAAACAAAAGGCAGAGAGCAGGGUUGGGGAGAGUGAUCGAAAUUCAUGAAUCAAGCUACCCAG